UCUCAACUCAAGCGGAGCUGAGUUGAGUGUCGGGGGUUGCGGACACAGCCGUUAACUAAACGACUUUUGUAGCCGAAUAGGUCUGGAAAGGCCAACCAUAGAAGGUGAUAGUCCUGUAGGCGAAACGAAAGGAGUUUAGGGCUGUGAUCCAGAGUACCACGGGACACGUGAAACCCUGUGGGAAGCAGGGAGGACCACCUCCCAAGGCUAAAUACUACCUGGUGACCGAUAGCGCAUAGUACCGUGAGGGAAAGGUGAAAAGAACCCCGGGAGGGGAGUGAAAUAGAACCUGAAACCCUAUGUCUACAAGCAGUGGAAGCACUUUUUAUGUGCAACCGCGUACUUUUUGUAGAACGGGCCAGCGAGUUACGAUAUGCAGCGAGGUUAAGGACUUAAGGUCUGGAGCCGUAGGGAAACCGAGUCUUAAAUGGGCGAAUAAGUUGCAUGUCGUAGACCCGAAACCGGGUGACCUACCCAUGGGCAGGGUGAAGCGAAAGUAAAAUUUCGUGGAGGCCCGAACCCGUGUCUGUUGAAAAAGGCUGGGAUGACCUGUGGGUAGCGGUGAAAUUCCAAUCGAACUCGGAUAUAGCUGGUUCUCCCCGAAAUAGCUUUAGGGCUAGCCUCAAGGUAGUGACAUGGAGGUAGAGCACUGAAUGGUCUAGGGGCGCUCACACGCUACCGAAACCUAUCAAACUCCGAAUGCCAUAGUCAUGUUCCUUGGGAGUCAGACUAUGUGAGAUAAGUUUCAUAGUCGAGAGGGAAAGAGCCCAGACCGCCAGCUAAGGUCCCUAAGUACAGGUUAAGUGGUAAAGGAUGUAAGACUACACAGACAACCAGGAUGUUGGCUUAGAAGCAGCCAUUCAUUUAAAGAGUGCGUAAUAGCUCACUGGUCGAGUGGUCUUGCGCCGAAAAUGUCCGGGGCUCAAACCUGUCACCGAAGCUGCGG
rnacentral:ncRNA from 1 species